CUUAAAUGCUGUGCAGAAUUUUUAAAGAUCAAAGGACUGAGAAAAGGAAGUAUCUGCUGUUCUGAAGUUCUAGAUGCAGCAUGUGGUGUAAAUGUCUGUGAUGGCGGGAAGAGAGACCCUGAUGAUCUUCUCAGCUGACCUCACUAUCCGCUGCAGGGUCUUGUGAUCCGAGAUGGUGCAAUUUCCGAACCAGGCAGUGAUGCAGUUGCUCAGGAUGCUCUCAAUACAACCUCUAUAGAAUGUGGUGAGGAUGGAGGGGGUGGUGGGGAGAUGGACUUUUCUCAGCCUUCGCAGAAAGUAGAGAUGCUGCUGGGCUUUCUUUGCUGUGGAUCUGGUUUUGAGGAACCAGGUGAGUUUCUCCGCCAGGUGAACACCAAGAAAUUCCUCAGCGUUAUCAUUUCAGAGGACCUGUCUUGGGCCCAGCAUGUAAGUACAAUUAUGAAGAAAGCACAGCAGUGCCUCUGCUUCCUUAGAAGUUUGCAAAGAUUUGGCAUGACAUCUACUAUUUUGACAAGCUUCUGUAGAUGUGUGGCAGACAGUGUAUUGCCCAGUGGCAUCACAACCUGGUAUGGAAACACCAAUGUCCUUGAAUAGAAAAUCCGACAAUAAGGAAUGGAUAUGGCCUAGUCCAUCACAGGUAAAAACCUACCUCUCCAUUGAGCACAUCUACUUGGAGUGUUGCGACAGGAAAGCAGCAUACACAAUCAAGGACCUCCACCACCCAAGUCAUACUCUCUUCUCACGGCCACCAUUAGGGAUAAGGUACUGAAGCCUCAGGACUCACACCAUCAGAUCCAGGAAUAAUUAUUACCCUCAACCAUCGGGCUCUUGAACCGGUGGGGAUAACUUCAUUCAGCUCCACUUGCCCUAUCACUGAUCUAUUCCCACACCCUAUGGACUUUUGAUAGGUUCUUGACUGGACACGGCAUUAAAGGUUAUGGGGAGAAGGCCGGGAACUGGGAUGAGGAGGAGAAAAAAAGCAUCAGCCAUGAUUGGGCCAGAUGGCCUGAUCCUGCUGUUAUAUUUUAUGGUCUUAUGGACUCACUUUGAAGGACUAUUCAUCUCAUGUUCUUCAUAUUUAUUGCUUGGUACUAUUAUUUCUGCCUUUUGUAUAUGCCCAAUUUGUUGUCUUUUGCACAUAGUU